rnacentral:tRNA from 1 species
GACUGGCUGGCUCAGUAGAGUGUGAGAUUCUUGAUCUCAAGAUCAUGAGCUCAAGCCUUAUGUUGGGUG